AGAGUUUGAUCAUGGCUCAGAUUGAACGCUGGCGGCAGGCCUAACACAUGCAAGUCGAACGGUAACAGGAAACAGCUUGCUGUUUCGCUGACGAGUGGCGGACGGGUGAGUAAUGUCUGGGAAACUGCCUGAUGGAGGGGGAUAACUACUGGAAACGGUAGCUAAUACCGCAUAACGUCGCAAGACCAAAGAGGGGGACCUUCGGGCCUCUUGCCAUCGGAUGUGCCCAGAUGGGAUUAGCUAGUAGGUGGGGUAACGGCUCACCUAGGCGACGAUCCCUAGCUGGUCUGAGAGGAUGACCAGCCACACUGGAACUGAGACACGGUCCAGACUCCUACGGGAGGCAGCAGUGGGGAAUAUUGCACAAUGGGCGCAAGCCUGAUGCAGCCAUGCCGCGUGUAUGAAGAAGGCCUUCGGGUUGUAAAGUACUUUCAGCGGGGAGGAAGGGAGUAAAGUUAAUACCUUUGCUCAUUGACGUUACCCGCAGAAGAAGCACCGGCUAACUCCGUGCCAGCAGCCGCGGUAAUACGGAGGGUGCAAGCGUUAAUCGGAAUUACUGGGCGUAAAGCGCACGCAGGCGGUUUGUUAAGUCAGAUGUGAAAUCCCCGGGCUCAACCUGGGAACUGCAUCUGAUACUGGCAAGCUUGAGUCUCGUAGAGGGGGGUGGAAUUCCAGGUGUAGCGGUGAAAUGCGUAGAGAUCUGGAGGAAUACCGGUGGCGAAGGCGGCCCCCUGGACGAAGACUGACGCUCAGGUGCGAAAGCGAGGGGAGCAAACAGGAUUAGAUACCCUGGUAGUCCACGCCGUAAACGAUGUCGACUUGGAGGUUGUGCCCUUGAGGCGUGGCUUCCGGAGCUAACGCGUUAAGUCGACCGCCUGGGGAGUACGGCCGCAAGGUUAAAACUCAAAUGAAUUGACGGGGGCCCGCACAAGCGGUGGAGCAUGUGGUUUAAUUCGAUGCAACGCGAAGAACCUUACCUGGUCUUGACAUCCACAGAACUUUCCAGAGAUGGAUUGGUGCCUUCGGGAACUGUGAGACAGGUGCUGCAUGGCUGUCGUCAGCUCGUGUUGUGAAAUGUUGGGUUAAGUCCCGCAACGAGCGCAACCCUUAUCCUUUGUUGCCAGCGGUCCGGCCGGGAACUCAAAGGAGACUGCCAGUGAUAAACUGGAGGAAGGUGGGGAUGACGUCAAGUCAUCAUGGCCCUUACGACCAGGGCUACACACGUGCUACAAUGGCGCAUACAAAGAGAAGCGACCUCGCGAGAGCAAGCGGACCUCAUAAAGUGCGUCGUAGUCCGGAUUGGAGUCUGCAACUCGACUCCAUGAAGUCGGAAUCGCUAGUAAUCGUGGAUCAGAAUGCCACGGUGAAUACGUUCCCGGGCCUUGUACACACCGCCCGUCACACCAUGGGAGUGGGUUGCAAAAGAAGUAGGUAGCUUAACCUUCGGGAGGGCGCUUACCACUUUGUGAUUCAUGACUGGGGUGAAGUCGUAACAAGGUAACCGUAGGGGAACCUGCGGUUGGAUCACCU
rnacentral:rRNA from 1 species